CUUCGGUAAAUGCCCUUAGUAGCGAACGGGUGAGUAACGCGUUGGUGACCUACCCCGGAGAGGGGGAUAACAGCUCGAAAGGGCUGCUAAUACCCCAUGAUGUCUUUGAGGUUAGAGGCUUAGAGACGAAAGGAGAGAUCCACUUCGGGAGGGGCCUGCGUCCCAUCAGCUAGUUGGUAGGGUAAAGGCCUACCAAGGCGAAGACGGGUAGGGGACCUGAGAGGGUGACCCCCCACACUGGCACUGAAACACGGGCCAG
rnacentral:rRNA from 1 species